GGUCUUUGCACUUUUCAGCAGAUACUCUGAUAGCAGCAGGCUUUCUACGACAGUUCGAUUAACAACUGAGACUAUUCCCAUGGCCAGAUCCUAAGGCCUAUCAAGCUGCAGUGUGAAUUAGUUGAGAAGUAAAUCCCUAACUUUCUGGGAACAUUUAUACUGAAGCAUUUAAGCUUGCUAAUGAACAUCGCAUUGUCCAUUUGAUUGCAUCUGUCAUAAAUGAAAUAAAGCGUAAUCAUUCCUAGAAAUUUUGAUUCUGAGCAGCAGGGAUGAGUUCAUUUAUCAACUGUGGUUAAUUUGAUUUCUGCUUAAAGCCAACACAACAUUAUUAAAUGA